GCCCGCCUCGGCCUUCCAGAGUGCUGGGGAUUACAGGUGUGAGCCACUGUGCCUGUGACCGACAGAGGGUGUAUUUCUGAGCUCUACAUUUCAGAGUUCUUUUCUCUAGCCCUGGCCUGGGUCCCAUACAGGGAACUUAAUUCACUCUAUCACUGAAGUAUACUCUUGCUUUGAUGCCAUUGGUAUGUUGUCCUAGAGAUUUGCUGUGGCUGCUAGGAGUGUUUCAUGAGUUAAGAACUGAUGCAACCUCUCUUUUGUCAGUUUAUGAGUCUAUAAACCAUCUUGUUUCCUUUAGCGAUUAUCUCCCUGGAACUGGAAGGUCAGAGAUGAAGUUUUCUUAGAUUAUAAGUCUCAGUCUUUGCUAUCUACCUUCGUCUGUCUCCCAUGUCACCUGCUGUUUUUUCCCCCCUGUUUUUCAUUUUAAUGUUUUUAUUGGAUAGGUGUCUAUUAUUGCAGGCUACCUCAAAACAUUUUUGGAUAUUGACAGGAUAUAAGUAUGAAUAAUAUGUAAAAGAUAACUUAUUCUAGUUCUUUUGAGCAGAGGAUUUGGUUUCGAUAUGUGGCCCUAUUAAAGCUUUUGUUAAGUCCAAGUACUUUCUGAACUUCAGUUCCCUUACCUGUAAAAUGGAGUUAGUUGUUAGUAAUACCUGUUCUGCCUAACUCAGGAGAUUGUUUUGAGGAUCAAAUGAAAUCAUGAAUGUAAUGGAAUUUUGUAAAUUUUAAAUGAAAUAUUGUAUUACCUAAGAUUUUUUUUUUAAACACCUAUUAAGAAUGGAAUGAAUCUGGGUUUUCCUUUGAAAUCCCAAAUGUUUAAUGUACAGAGAAGUUUUAAUGUGUCUGUUGGGGAGCUUCAUUAGGAUUGUUUUCUAUCUUUAAUUGGCCAGUAUUGUUUUAUAUUUUAGCAUUUUUGGGGAACAUCAAAAUUUGUGUUUCAGUUAUCAUUAAUAUUUUGUAAAGUUAAUGCAUGUGCAUGAUUUAGUCUUUAACAAUCUCUUCAAUUAUUUACAUUCCCAUGUAAAAAAUGCAGUAAUGAACGUCCGUGUAAAUAACAUUCCCAUGCUUUAAUGAAGUAUAAUUUCUUGACCUCGCAGUUUCUAAGUACCCUGUGUUGAUGUUGGGUAGACUAAAGGGCAGUCAGAAGUCAAGGUCAGCAAAGCGUCACCUUUGACAUUUGAAAUCCAGCAGCAGGUAUCACAGUGAACCCCAUUCCAGCAUCCAGGAAGUUUCUCUGCCCUGCCUCUCCUCCAGCCACCUCCGAAUCUGUGUCUGCGGUGUUGGUCCUGCUUUCCUCUCUCUCCUCUGCCUUUUCUUUCUCUUCACCAACUUCUACUGAGUGCCUCUGAUGUCCCAGACAGUGGCAGUGGGAGUACAAAGGCUAAUAAACCCGGCCCUGGUCCUCAAAGAAUUUGUUUUCUGUGCAGAUAUUAAGUGACACUGUCAUAUAUAGUGUUGACAGACGUUGAUACAGAUUUCCUGUGAAGUACAGAAGCAGCAUCCUAGAAGCAGAGAUGCAGACGCAGCACUGGUGACUCACAUGGAGAGCUGGAGUUCUUGGUCUAGUGGGAUCAACUGACCUGGACAUCAUUUCAGUGCAGCGGAAACAAGAUUAUCAUCUAUUGUUUUGGAUGGAGUGUGGCCAGCCCUGCCUUGCGAUGUAAGGAAAUCAGGAAACACUUGUCAGGUGUCAACACCGUGCCAGACACUCUUCUAGGGGUUUCCACACGGAGUCUCAUUCUCUUGCCGGGCUGGAGUGCAGUGG